rnacentral:rRNA from 1 species
AAAAUUUAAAAUUAAAAUACUAAAGUAGUAAAUAUAAUUUUGUUGAAAUUUAAAUAAUUUGGCGGUAUUUUAGUUCAUUUAGAGGAAUCUGUUUAAUAAUUGAUACUCCACGAAUAAAUUUACUUGGUUUAUAAUUUUGUAUAUCGUUGUUAUAAAAAUAUUUUUUAAUGAAAUUAAUAUUUAAAAAUUAAAAUAUAAAUUUAAAUCAGAUCAAGAUGCAGUUUAUAAUUAAGAAUAUAAUGGAUUACAAUAAAUUUAUUUAAAUGGAUUUUAAUUUUUAAUAAUUAAUUGAAGGUGGAUUUAAAUGUAAUUUUAUUUAAUUUAAUAAAAUGAUUAAAAAUUAAAAUAUGU